AUAUCGGCGCUCACGACAGGUUCCCCGCCAGGGGAUGAAAAGGGAACUCGGGUGAAACCCGGGCUGCCCCCGCAACUGUGAGCGGCCAGCGUUUCCGUCAUAGGCCACUGGGCGGCGUUUCGAAAGCGCCCCCGGGAAGGCGACGGAGCAUCGCGACGACCCGCGAGCCAGGAGACCUGCCAGUCGUCUUCUUUCGCC
rnacentral:ncRNA from 2 species